AGUGAGCCAAGGUGGGGCUCUGUUAGCUCCAUGGAAAGUCAGAGAAAAAGGAGGCCCUGGAGACAGGCUCAGGGUUUUAGCUUGGGAAGAG